UUAAUGAGAGUUUGAUCCUGGCUCAGGACGAACGCUGGCGGCGUGCCUAAUACAUGCAAGUAGAACGCUGAGGUUUGGUGUUUACACUAGACUGAUGAGUUGCGAACGGGUGAGUAACGCGUAGGUAACCUGCCUCAUAGCGGGGGAUAACUAUUGGAAACGAUAGCUAAUACCGCAUAAGAGUAAUUAACACAUGUUAGUUAUUUAAAAGGAGCAAUUGCUUCACUGUGAGAUGGACCUGCGUUGUAUUAGCUAGUUGGUGAGGUAAAGGCUCACCAAGGCGACGAUACAUAGCCGACCUGAGAGGGUGAUCGGCCACACUGGGACUGAGACACGGCCCAGACUCCUACGGGAGGCAGCAGUAGGGAAUCUUCGGCAAUGGACGGAAGUCUGACCGAGCAACGCCGCGUGAGUGAAGAAGGUUUUCGGAUCGUAAAGCUCUGUUGUUAGAGAAGAACGUUGGUAGGAGUGGAAAAUCUACCAAGUGACGGUAACUAACCAGAAAGGGACGGCUAACUACGUGCCAGCAGCCGCGGUAAUACGUAGGUCCCGAGCGUUGUCCGGAUUUAUUGGGCGUAAAGCGAGCGCAGGCGGUUCUUUAAGUCUGAAGUUAAAGGCAGUGGCUUAACCAUUGUACGCUUUGGAAACUGGAGGACUUGAGUGCAGAAGGGGAGAGUGGAA
rnacentral:rRNA from 1 species